rnacentral:rRNA from 1 species
UACGGAGGGUGCAAGCGUUAUCCGGAUUUACUGGGUUUAAAGGGUGCGUAGGUGGGUAGGAAAGUCAGUGGUGAAAUCUUCGGGCUUAACCCGGAAACUGCCAUUGAUGACUAUUUAUCUUGAAUACUUUGGAGGUAAGCGGAAUAUGUCAUGUAGCGGUGAAAUGCUUAGAUAUGACAUAGAACACCCAUUGCGAAGGCAGCUUGCUACACAAUGAUUGACGCUGAGGCACGAAAGCGUGGGGAUCAAACAGG